AUUCUACCCAUGCGGGGAAGGAUGAGAAGCUUCGACUAAGGUUCGAUUCGAGCGAAAGCGAGAAAGCGUUGCCAACGGCAACGACCCGAAGGGCGAAGCGCGCAGCGCUGAGUAAUCCUUCCCCCGUCAUCC
rnacentral:sRNA from 1 species